rnacentral:rRNA from 1 species
UACGGGGGGUGCGAGCGUUGUCCGGAAUCACUGGGCGUAAAGGGCGCGUAGGCGGCCUGAUAAGUAGGGGGUGAAAUCCUGCGGCUUAACCGCAGGGCUGCCUUCUAAACUGUCAGGCUAGAGCACAGUAGAGGCAGGUGGAAUUCCCGGUGUAGCGGUGGAAUGCGUAGAGAUCCGGAGGAACACCAGUGGCGAAGGCGGCCGCCUGGACCUGACCUGACGCUGAGGCGCGAAGGCGUGGGGAGCGAACGGG